CACGUAGGGGGCUAGCGUUGCUCGGAAUCACUGGGCGUAAAGGGCGCGUAGGCGGCCGAUUAAGUCGGGGGGUGAAAGCCUGUGGCUCAACCACAGAAUUGCCUUCGAUACUGGUUGGCUUGAGACCGGAAGAGGACAGCGGAACUGCGAGUGUAGAGGUGAAAUUCGUAGAUAUUCGCAAGAACACCAGUGGCGAAGGCGGCUGUCUGGUCCGGUUCUGACGCUGAGGCGCAAAAGCGUGGGGAGCAAACAGG
rnacentral:rRNA from 1 species